rnacentral:rRNA from 1 species
GACGAACGCUGGCGGCGUGCCUAAUACAUGCAAGUCGAACGAACCGCGACUGAGUGCUUGCACUUGGUCAAGGUGAGUGGCGAACGGGUGAGUAACACGUGGGUAACCUACCUCAUAGUGGGGGAUAACAGUCGGAAACGACUGCUAAUACCGCAUAGGACAUAGAAUCACAUGAUUCUGUGAGGAAAGGUGGCGCAAGCUAUCGCUAAGAGAUGGACCCGCGGUGCAUUAGCUAGUUGGUAGGGUAACGGCCUACCAAGGCGAUGAUGCAUAGCCGACCUGAGAGGGUGAUCGGCCACAUUGGGACUGAGACACGGCCCAAACUCCUACGGGAGGCAGCAGUAGGGAAUCUUCCGCAAUGGACGCAAGUCUGACGGAGCAACGCCGCGUGAGUGAAGAAGGUCUUCGGAUCGUAAAGCUCUGUUGUUAGAGAAGAACAGCGCAUAGAGUAACUGUUAUGCGUGUGACGGUAUCUAACCAGAAAGCCACGGCU